rnacentral:lncRNA from 1 species
GCGGGGCUUGGUGCCUGGAGGGUGCCGUCCCCACCUCCGCGUCUCUGGCCGUGCGCUCUGCGGCGGGAUCCCGGCCCCAACUCCAGCAGGGGUCUCUUCGGGCCUCUCCCCUGCUCCGCCCAUGGUCCCCUAGUCCAGGGUUCCCUCAACAGUGGCGCGCACAGCCCCCGCGCUCCACGCGAGGGCCGCUUCUACAUCCCACCCACUUACUCCUCCCUGCGGCCUGUUGGCCCUCGUCGUCCCCCAGGUGUGUCUCCCGUGGCUUUAGAUGCAAAGCGACGCUUCCUAACCGGGACCAGCCCAGAUGCGGAGUAAAACCUGGCAGUCUGGGGGUUAUGAGCCAGCGCUCCUGAGCCUUCAUGUUGUCCUAUCCCUGAGGACACAGUGGACGAUGGGCAAGGCCUCUGACCUCCUGGAGCUUGAGAGAUCCAGUGGGAGAGACAAUCAACAUGACACCUUCCGGUAGGGCCAAGCUCUAGGCAGAAGCUGUAGCAGAACCAGAGCCCUGUGGUUGGGAACAGCUGCCUGUUUGAGCUCUGACCUAGGGAAGAGAAAGGGGGAUCCCAGGAAGGGCCCUGCUGGACAGGUCUGCUCAAGACUUUGCAAAAGGGCUGGAGUGAGGCAUGGUGGCCUUGGGGAGAGCUGUUGGUGGUUUUGUAGGCCGUCAACCUAUCUCCAGUGUGCCCUGAGCUAAGCCUGCCUCAUCUCCCAGGUUUCCUGGUUUGCUCCCCUCCAGGCCCUCAUAGGCUCUGCUGCAGGGCCUUUGCACAUGCUGGCAUCUGGUCUUGGAUGUACUCACCUUUUUCAGGUCUUUCCCCAAAUGCGCCCUUCUCAGUGAGCCUGAGAAGAACAUUUCAACACCUGUCCAACUCUAUCCCCUUUCCUGCUCCAUUUUCAGUUUCCCUUGCUUGUGACUACAUAGAAUACAUUCUAGCUUACUCAUCAUGGUAGCAUUCUCUAGGAUGGCCCAGACCCUCAGGUGACCCCCCCCCUCCCCUCAAGCUGCACCUAGUGAUUUGCUUCUAGUCACUAGAAUAUGGCAGAAGCAAUGGCUGUCACUUUGUGCUCCCUCCUAACCUGCUCACCACAACAAGGUGGCCCAGGGAGACCUCAGAUGGCAGAGCCCGCAGCCUGCCUCCACCUGCAUGGGAGCCCGGGGGCACCCCUCAUCAGCUUCCCUAAGGCUCGCUGCACCCACUUCUGCGAGAGGGGGUGCCUGCAGGGUGACGCAGCAGAGGAGGAAGGGCUGUCCCCCAGAGCCUCAGCAGCACAGCCAGACCACAGCUGAUUUCAGCCCAGGGAGACGAAUUUGGCAGCUCUAGCCUCAAAACCUGAGAUAAUAAAGGCACGUUGGCUGUCCCCAGUCCUAGAGAUGGAGCACAGGGUGCUCUCGCACAGAGCUACAGGGCCAGUCCUUCUUAUUUUUUAAUUCUGAUACAGGGUCUUGCCAGGUCACUCAGGCUGGACUUGAACUUGUGACCCUCCUGCCUCAGCGCCCAAGUAGCGUGAGGUGUGCACCACACGCAGCUAUAAAUGCACGUUUGAAGCCACAAGUUUGUGACAAUGUGUCACAGUAGCCAUAGGAGAUUAAUGCAAGGAAUAAAAAUUAGUUCUAAAACAUAAGAAAA